CAACAACGGAAAGGAGGUGGUCGAAUGUCUCAUUGUCACAUGCCGCUCAACGCGGAUCGGAUGAGCAAUGCCUCCACCCUGGAGGUUCGCUGCCUCUGAGUCCGCCGCCACGCGGCUGACAAUGGAAGGGUCGCCCCGGAAACGGGGCGGCCCU
rnacentral:sRNA from 1 species